AGGGUUUACUCACCCACCUUCCAGCCUAGGAUGGCCCUGGGCUCCGGACUGACAAGCCCUCUUUUUGCCUCCUAGCUUCUCGCCAACGUGCGCAAGAAAAGCCGUGGGAGGAGUCUGGAACGAAACAGGUGGAAGUAGCCAGGGUGUGGACAUUUCUCCAGAGGACACCCUCAGACAGUCAAGGCAAGAAGACAGGAGUCAACUCUCAGGGACGUAUUCCCCCAAGAAACGCACGACCAGUGUCCGUCCUUAGAGGGCAUGAGGCAGAUCCUUUGGCUGAGCUGCGUUUCUCUGGAGCAGCUCAGAAAUGCAACGGACUGUUUCCUGGAGGGUGCGGAGGGCUGAGCUGA
rnacentral:lncRNA from 1 species